UAGGGAAUCUUCCACAAUGGGCGAAAGCCUGAUGGAGCAACGCCGCGUGUGUGAUGAAGGGUUUCGGCUCGUAAAACACUGCUGUAAGAGAAGAAUGACAUUGAGAGUAACUGUUNAAUGUGUGACGGUAUCUUACCAGAAAGGAACGGCUAAAUACGUGCCAC
rnacentral:rRNA from 1 species